rnacentral:rRNA from 1 species
AUUGAACGCUGGCGGCAGGCCUAACACAUGCAAGUCGAGCGGAUGAAGGGAGCUUGCUCCUGGAUUCAGCGGCGGACGGGUGAGUAAUGCCUAGGAAUCUGCCUGGUAGUGGGGGAUAACGUCCGUAAACGGGCGCUAAUACCGCAUACGUCCUGAGGGUGAAAGUGGGGGAUCUUCGGACCUCACGCUAUCAGAUGAGCCUAGGUCGGAUUAGCUAGUUGGUUGGGUAAAGGCCUACCAAGGCGACGAUCCGUAACUGGUCUGAGAGGAUGAUCAGUCACACUGGAACUGAGACACGGUCCAGACUCCUACGGGAGGCAGCAGUGGGGAAUAUUGGACAAUGGGCGAAAGCCUGAUCCAGCCAUGCCGCGUGUGUGAAGAAGGUCUUCGGAUUGUAAAGCACUUUAAGUUGGGAGGAAGGGCAGUAAGUUAAUACCUUGCUGUUUUGACGUUACCAACAGAAUAAGCACCGGCUAACUUCGUG